GGUAAAAUGGCUGAGUUUAGGCGAUAAAUUGUAAAUUUAUUUACGAGAUUAAUCUCUUUUAUCA
rnacentral:tRNA from 1 species